GAUGAAGAACGCAGCGAAAUGCGAUACGUAAUGUGAAUUGCAGAAUUCAGUGAAUCAUCGAGUCUUUGAACGCACAUUGCGCCCCCUGGUAUUCCGGGGGGCAUGCCUGUCCGAGCGUCAUUGCUGCCCUCAAGCACGGCUUGUGUGUUGGGCCUCCGUCCUCCUCCCGGGGGACGGGCCCGAAAGGCAGCGGCGGCACCGCGUCCGGUCCUCGAGCGUAUGGGGCUUCGUCACCCGCUCUUGUAGGCCCGGCCGGCGCUGCCGACACAUCAAUCUUUUUUCCAGGUUGACCUCGGAUCAGGUAGGGAUACCCGCUGAACUUAAGCAUAUCAAUAAGCGGAGGA
rnacentral:misc_RNA from 1 species